rnacentral:rRNA from 1 species
UACGUAGGGCGCGAGCGUUGUCCGGAAUUAUUGGGCGUAAAGAGCUCGUAGGCGGCCUGUUGCGUCCGCUGUGAAAGCCCGGGGCUUAACCCCGGGUCGGCAGUGGAUACGGGCAGGCUAGAGGUAGGUAGGGGAGAAUGGAAUUCCCGGUGUAGCGGUGAAAUGCGCAGAUAUCGGGAGGAACACCGGUGGCGAAGGCGGUUCUCUGGGCCUUACCUGACGCUGAGGAGCGAAAGCGUGGGGAGCGAACAGG